rnacentral:rRNA from 1 species
CCUACGGGUGGCAGCAGUGGGGAAUAUUGGGCAAUGGAGGAAACUCUGACCCAGCAACGCCGCGUGAAUGAUGAAGGUCUUCGGAUUGUAAAGUUCUUUUCUAAGGGAAGAAGAGAGUGACGUUACUUUAGGAAUAAGCCUCGGCUAACUACGUGCCAGCAGCCCCGGUAAUAAGGAGGGUGCAAGCGUUACUGGGAAUCACUGGGCGUAAAGCGCGCGUGGGCGGGAUAGCAAGUCAGAUGUGAAAUCCUAUGGCUUAACCAUAGAACUGUAUUUGAAACUGUUAUUCUAGAGUAUGGGAGAGGUAGGUGGAAUUCUUGGUGUAGGGGUAAAAUCCGUAGAGAUCAAGAGGAAUACUCAUUGCGAAGGCGACCUGCUAGAACAUAACUGACGCUGAUGCGCGAAAGCGUGGGGAGCAAACAGGAUUAGAUACCCUUGUAGUC